rnacentral:rRNA from 1 species
GACGAACGCUGGCGGCGCGCUUAACACAUGCAAGUCGAGCGAUGAAACUUUAACAGAACCCUUCGGGGCGAAGAUAAAGUGGAUUAGCGGCGGACGGGUGAGUAACACGUGAGUAACCUGCCUUAGACAUUGGGAUAGCCUCGGGAAACCGGGAUUAAUACCAAAUAAAAUCAUAAUGACACAUGUCAUAACGAUCAAAACUCCGGUGGUCUAAGAUGGACUCACGUCCCAUUAGCUAGUUGGUAGAGUAAAAGCCUACCAAGGCGACGAUGGGUAGCCGGCCUGAGAGGGUGAACGGCCACAUUGGAACUGAGAAACGGUCCAAACUCCUACGGGAGGCAGCAGUGGGGAAUAUUGCACAAUGGAGGGAACUCUGAUGCAGCGACGCCGCGUGAACGAAGAAGGCUUUCGAGUCGUAAAGUUCUUUUAUAUGGGAAGAUAAUGACGGUACCAUAAGAAAAAGCCCCGGCUAACUACGUG